rnacentral:rRNA from 1 species
GAUGAACGCUGGCGGCGUGCUUAACACAUGCAAGUCGAACGGACUGAGGGAGCUUGCUCCCAAAGUUAGUGGCGGACGGGUGAGUAACGCGUGGGUAACCUGCCCUAUGCAGGGGGAUAACGUUUGGAAACGAACGCUAAUACCGCAUAACAUAAAAAGUUUGCAUGAACUUUUUAUCAAAGAUUUAUCGGCAUAGGAUGGACCCGCGUUGGAUUAGCUAGUUGGUGAGAUAAUAGCCCACCAAGGCAACGAUCCAUAGCCGGCCUGAGAGGGUGAACGGCCACACUGGGACUGAGACACGGCCCAGACUCCUACGGUGGCUG